UACGAAGGGGGCUAGCGUUGCUCGGAAUUACUGGGCGUAAAGCGCGCGUAGGCGGCCCGGUAAGUCCGCUGUAAAAGUCAAAGGCUCAACCUUUGAAUGUCAGUGGAUACUGCCGGGCUAGAGUCCGGAAGAGGCGAGUGGAACUCCUGGUGUAGCGGUGGAAUGCGCAGAUAUCAGGAAGAACACCGACGGCGAAGGCAGCUCGCUGGGACGGUACUGACGCUGAGGCGCGAAAGCCAGGGGAGCGAACGGG
rnacentral:rRNA from 1 species